GUGGGGAAUCUUGCGCAAUGGGCGAAAGCCUGACGCAGCCAUGCCGCGUGGAUGAUGAAGGUCUUAGGAUUGUAAAAUCCUUUCACCGGUGAAGAUAAUGACUGUAGCCGGAGAAGAAGCCCCGGCUAACUUCGUGCCAGCAGCCGCGGUAAUACGAAGGGGGCUAGCGUUGCUCGGAUUUACUGGGCGUAAAGGGCGCGUAGGCGGACAUUUAAGUCAGGGGUGAAAUCCCGGGGCUCAACCUCGGAACUGCCUUUGGUACUGGGUGUCUUGAGUAUGAGAGAGGUGUGUGGAACUCCGAGUGUAGAGGUGAAAUUCGUAGAUAUUCGGAAGAACACCAGUGGCGAAGGCGACACACUGGCUCAUUACUGACGCUGAGGCGCGAAAGCGUGGGGAGCAAACAGGAUUAGAUACCCCUGUAGUCC
rnacentral:rRNA from 1 species